ACUCCUACGGGAGGCAGCAGUAGGGAAUCUUCCACAAUGGGCGAAAGCCUGAUGGAGCAACGCCGCGUGUGUGAUGAAGGCUUUCGGGUCGUAAAGCACUGUUGUAUGGGAAGAACAGCUAGAAUAGGAAAUGAUUUUAGUUUGGCGGUACUAUACCAGAAAGGGACGGCUAAAUACGUGCCAGCAGCCGCGGUAAU
rnacentral:rRNA from 1 species